UACGGAAGGUGCAAGCGUUGUCCGGAAUCACUGGGCGUAAAGGGCGCGUAGGCGGCUCAUGAAGGCUGUGGUGAAAGUCCGGGGCUCAACCUCGGAUCGGCCGUGGCGACUCGUGGGCUGGAGCACUGUAGAGGCGGGUGGAAUUCCGGGUGUAGCGGUGGAAUGCGUAGAGAUCCGGAAGAACACCAGUGGCGAAGGCGGCCCGCUGGGCAGUGGCUGACGCUGAGGCGCGACAGCGUGGGGAGCAAACAGG
rnacentral:rRNA from 1 species